rnacentral:rRNA from 1 species
AUUGAACGCUGGCGGCAGGCCUAACACAUGCAAGUGGAGGGAGGGGGCGGACGGGGGAGUAAUGCCAAGGAAUCUGCCUGGAGGUGGGGGUAAACGUCCGGAAAGGGGGGCUAAAAUCGCAUACAACAGGAUGGGCUUGGGUCGGUUUGGCAGGUGGGGGGGGUAAAGCCCUCCCAAGGCGACGAUCCGUAACUGGUCUGAGAGGAUGAUCAGUCACACUGGAACUGAGACACGGUCCAGACUCCUACGGGAGGCAGCAGUGGGGAAUAUUGGACAAUGGGCGAAAGCCUGAUCCAGCCAUGCCGCGUGUGUGAAGAAGGUCUUCGGAUUGUAAAGCACUUUAAGUUGGGAGGCGUUACCAACAGAAUAAGCACCGGCUAACUUCGUGCCAGCAGCCGCGGUAAUAC